UACGUAGGGGGCAAGCGUUGUCCGGAUUCAUUGGGCGUAAAGAGCUCGUAGGCGGUCUGUCGCGUCGGCUGUGAAAACCCGGAGCUCAACUCCGGGCCUGCAGUCGAUACGGGCAGACUGGAGUUCGGCAGGGGAGACUGGAAUUCCUGGUGUAGCGGUGAAAUGCGCAGAUAUCAGGAGGAACACCGGUGGCGAAGGCGGGUCUCUGGGCCGAUACUGACGCUGAGGAGCGAAAGCGUGGGGAGCGAACAGG
rnacentral:rRNA from 1 species